rnacentral:pre_miRNA from 1 species
GGGGGGAGCGCCUGUCCUGGGCUGUGUGUCCGGCACCCUGGGCUCCCGAUCCUGUGCUGUCGGAAUCACGCUCCCGGCGGCGCAGCCUCUU